AAUUCAAGUUUUAUAAUUGUUAAUUGCAUCAUUUACCCUGUUUCCUAUAAGUUAUUCGUGUUUCGAUUUCAACAAAAACCCAAAUGCUAUCAAGGCAAAAAUGUUCUCCUGGCCUAGCAAAAAAGAUAUGCACCCUCCAUUAUAAACUUGGGCCCGUUUAACUAUGUGUGUCUGUAUGUGUGUGUGUGUGGAAGUGUGCUUCAUGUACAUAAGUUGUGUGUGUGUGUG